CAGACCUUUCCCUCCACUGUCAAAUCAUUUUGUACUGCUCUUGCUUACCACGGAGUCCAGAAAAUCUGAUUGUAAAGUAUGUUGGAAACUAAGUUAUGCAGGAAGAGUGAGAGGAGAGCUGGAUCAAGUGGAAACAAUAUUUUAGCACAUGACCAGAACAACCUACAUCAGCUCCCUGCCUGAGGAAAGACAGUUCAGUAAAAAUGAUGAGAACAAAAGUGAUGCUGUUGGAGACUGCACUGUUGAUGAGGCUUGUGUAACUGCAGUGUUUUGUCAGCUAAUCCAUAUCGCCAGCACUGAGACUGAGGCUGGAUCAUCACGUAUGUAUGUUUGCUGGUGCCUUCCAUAGUGGGGAGUGGUUUGUUGUCGUUUCUGUGACUUGCUGCCACAGGAAGCCAGAUGCACAGAACAGCACUUGCACUGCUCUUGAUUGAGCCUGAGCAACUGAAAGGGUGAAAGUUAGCUUAUGUUAUAGAAAAGGGGAUGGAAUAGGUGAAAGUUAGCUUAGUGGGUAGCUUAGGUUUGCAACGUGAAACUUUGUGCUGAAAAGACAGACAAGGAGAAAGUCUGGGGCAUGUAGUCCUUGUAAAAACAGUGGUAUACAGUA
rnacentral:lncRNA from 1 species